CGGGCUUAUCUCAUACACGGUUAGUAGUGGAGUUACGUCCCUUUAUAUUCCUUAUUAGGUAAGAAGGGGGCGGGGCUUAUUUCAUACACGGUUAGUAAUGGUGUUAUGUCCCUUUGUAAAAAACAAAACGGUACUGAGAAAAAAUCUUAAAAGUUCCAACAGACGAAGAAAUUGAUGAUUAAGAUUGAAACAAAUUCAUAAAACACAUUUAAACCUUACGAGUCGUUAUUGUUGGCAUCUGUUUUUGUAGGAUCAAUGGAAGUAUUUUCUUAGCGCUAACAGUAUUGAAGACUUGCUCGUUUUGAGAAUCACUAGUCUUAAUU
rnacentral:lncRNA from 1 species